GAUUAACGCUAGCGGCAAGCCUAAUACAUGCAAGUCGAACGGGAUUUCGGGUAGCAAUAUCUGGAUGAGAGUGGCGCACGGGUGCGUAACGCGUAUGCAAUCUACCGCUGACUGGGGGAUAGCCCUCCGAAAGGAGGAUUAACACCGCAUAACACUAUGAAGGGGCAUCUCUUUGUAGUCAAAACUCCGGGUGGUCAGCGAUGAGCAUGCGUCCGAUUAGCUAGUUGGCGAGGUAACGGCUCACCAAGGCGAAGAUGGUUAGGGGUUUUGAGAGAGAGACCCCCCACAUUGGAACUGAGAGACGGUCCAGACUCCUACGGGAGGCAGCAGUAGGGAAUAUUGGGCAAUGGGCGAAAGCCUGACCCAGCCAUGCCGCGUGAAGGAAGACGGCCUUAUGGGUUGUAAACUUCUUUACUACGCGAAUAGAGGUUAGUACGAGAUACUAAUAGGAAGGUAGUGUAGUAAAAAGCACCGGCUAACUCCGUG
rnacentral:rRNA from 1 species